GUGUGGGAGUCAGGGAGGAACCGCGUAGAGGUAGGUACCUUGCUUAAGCGCGUCUAUCUAUCCUGAUCCUCAUCUAUCGAAAACGGACAAAGGACGUCGGCGGGCCUUUAGUCAUUUUCGGCUCACAAUACACACUAACUAAAGACCUCGUUACCUAGAACUCAACCCCUCCCCGUACUCUAGGGGCGUCUCCCUGAGUACCUUCUGGUGGUACCAGGACCGUAUGGUCUCGGACCCCCACCACAUGCCCCUGGAGUCGUAGAGGGGGGAGAUGCAGAAGUUCUCGUGGAAGCGACUCCUGUAGGUCGUGAGCCUGUGGUUGCUCCUCUAGAAGCCGCAGGAGAGGAAGCAGAAGACCUGCGAGUGGGAGUAGGGAGAGUAGUUCAUGCAGAGGUAACAGGAGGCUCGGCUGCUGUUACCGCUCCCUCCCUGCAAGCGGGAGAUGAGAGACUAAACGGCCGUACGGUUACACUCGGAGGACGGGUUGUCCGUCUAACGCCUGCUCCUCGAGAGGUGGAUGUUCGACCUCGCGUUGGGACUCUGGCACCUGUUCUGGGCGCAGUUCCACACCGACCUCUUCGUGUUCUUGGACGUGUGGCGGGAGGAGUAGUACCAAGAGUAACCGUGGACAUACCAGUAACCCCUGCCACAGGAGUGCGGCCGAUAUAGACACAAAAGUCGACACAGUCCGGAACUCAAGAGGAACAGGUUUCUAGUGGUACUUAUACGGCAGUAAGGUUAUUGUACGCAUUAUAAUCGUAAAGAUAAACGGGAGGUCGUAAAACCGUGUGUAGCUCAGCCUAAAUAGAAACGGGGCUAUCAAGAUCGGACCGAUGAGACGUACUCACGAGAACCGGAAAUAUUAUAGUAUGUAACCUUAGGAGUGCAGAUAGUUCGAGACUUAGGGAUAAUGUACAAGUUCAAGGAUUUCUUCUGAUCCUUUAUACCGACCUACAGUGAGCCACCUUAAAACGAGACGUACUGUCCCAGACUUCGUUACAAGCGGCUAGAACCUGUGAAGAGUAUGUCGCGUUAGGUCGAACGAAAGUGAAGAAACCAAAUGGGACGCAACUAAGACCGUAUGUACCCAGUCCGUCGAAUGAAUAGUUUUGUAGUACUGAAAAUGAGUUUGAGAGUUCAACCUAAAAUGUAUCGUCAAGGUCUAUUCCACUCUACCGGACAAGAACAUGACCGAUAAGACCGAAGUCAACAACCUUCGGUUCGUUAGUAGUCGCCUUGUAAGAGUUAUUAGUUAGUCUCAGUCAGGGAUUCGACGAAGGGGGCCCAUUUUCAACAUGUGUGUAGACUCUUUUAAGUACCCGUCUAUAUGUAAGGACUCUAGUUGACCGAUGAGUACUAGGAGACGCAACGGCACUGACAACCUAAGUCUCUGUGAUUCGUGUACCCUUUACGUAGGCCUGAUCGUCACUAGUGACACUACGACCAAUGGUGUAAGGACUGUAGGGAACACUAGUACCACACGACCGUGUUCGGUGGGGACGACCGGGACCCGAAGGAGGAGAAGAAGCCGAGGCACCUCCGCGAGAUGAAGAGCCGCAGCGAGUAGUUCAAGGACCUCCCGCGUACCGAGGGCUAUGAGGACCGGGAGUAGGACUACCGGCAGUACGAGCACACCGUGUAGUGGUGGUAGUUCUUCAUGCUCAAGCUGGACGUCUUGUUCCACUGGGACCUCACCGAAGACCGGGACCCACUGUUCGAGCCGUACCAGGCACACGGCCCGUAACCGGAGCAGAUGUGGCUGGACUGCAGCCCGCAGGGACGGUUGAAGAGGGCGAAGCAGUGGUUGGAGGGCCGCAAGGUAUUCCAGGACCAGAAGCACACGCAGUUCAGCCAGGGCCACGGCAUACACAAGGGGCGGCUCGCGAUGGAGCAGCCGGCUCACCCAGGCGGCCCGGUGGCCAGCAUGGCCACGUAGCACGCCAUGCCGAUGGCACUACAAGUGGUCCUGCACCUGAGCAAGCUCUGCCUCGACUAGCUCUCGGACCGGUACAAGUAGUUCGAGUUGCGGAGGAUGGCGACGUCGCUCCACUCGGUCUCGCUCGUCGACCUCCUCACCCUCGGCCCCGACUGGCAGUAGCCUUCGUUGUGCGAGGCCCUAGUGCGCUCGAUGCUGAACGUCCUGUCACAGGUCGUGAGCCGGCGCAGGCAGGGACGGCGGCUGUCGGGGCCGCCGUGCCCAAACCUCAGGUUGAGCAGGUUCGUCCACUCCAAGAAGUAUCUAUCGGACCACCACUCGGGGCUCCGCCUGUUCGUCCACCGCCUCCUCGACCUCCGCGACCGCCGCCGCUCCCUCCGGCCGUGACGGAAGUAGAACCCCGUGAGCGUGCACGUCACGUUCGGACCGAGCAGCCACCACUUCUUCGACUGCCACCAGCCCAUGUUGAAGGACGCCGCGUUGACGGCACCUGGCCUGCACCACGACGCCCACGGCGGCCGCAGCGAGGACCUCCAGCCGUACCAGAUACAAGAUACUUUGGAGAAGCAAAACCGUACACAAAUAGUAGAGUGUUUAGACGGGUACGUAGGUGGACGAACAACCGACAACAACGAGACAUCCAUUGAUUUGAACAGUCAAUACAACAUUACGGGGGGCCUAAUAAAACGUAGGCCGACAUAUCAAAUGUUGAAGCCUAACAACGAGGACGACGAGUAUGUGUAAAGCACAUGUUGACGUCUCGUGUACAACAUAACACAAGAGCUAUACUGCGCCUCACGCGAGUGGUUGGGUUCAAGAGAAACACGAUCUUCAUCAUUGAAUAUCUGAUCAUUUUACGUAUACGAUGAUCAGAUAUAAUGAUAGAGAUAUCACCUCACAUUGUAUACACACCACAGUACGUUGUAAAAUAAAUAAUCCAAUAUUUGAGUAGAAUAGAACCAUACACACUAUAAUGUCAUUGAUCGAUACAAUG
rnacentral:rRNA from 1 species